rnacentral:rRNA from 1 species
GACGAACGCUGGCGGCGUGCUUAACACAUGCAAGUCGAACGGUAAGGCCCUUCGGGGUACACGAGUGGCGAACGGGUGAGUAACACGUUGGUGAUCUGCCCUGCACUUCGGGAUAAGCCUGGGAAACUGGGUCUAAUACCGGAUAGGACCACUGCCUGCAUGGGUGGUGGUGGAAAGCUUUUGCGGUGUGGGAUGGGCCCGCGGCCUAUCAGCUUGUUGGUGGGGUGAUGGCCUACCAAGGCGACGACGGGUAGCCGGCCUGAGAGGGUGACCGGCCACACUGGGACUGAGGUACGGCCCAGACUCCUACGGGAGGCAGCAGUGGGGAAUAUUGCACAAUGGGCGCAAGCCUGAUGCAGCGACGCCGCGUGAGGGAUGACGGCCUUCGGGUUGUAAACCUCUUUCAGCACCGACGAAGCGCAAGUGACGGUAGGUGCAGAAGAAGGACCGGCCAACUACGUGCCAGCCGCUGCCGUAA